rnacentral:rRNA from 1 species
UACGGAGGGUGCAAGCGUUAUCCGGAUUCACUGAGUUUAAAGAGUGCGUAAAUGGGUUGGUAAGUCAGUGGUGAAAUCCCCGAACUUAACUUGGGAACUGCCAUUGAUACUAUCAGUCUUGAAUAUUGUGGAGGUCAGCGGAAUAUGUCAUGUAGCGGUGAGAUGCUUAGAUAUGACAUAGAACACCAAUUGCGAAGACAGCUGGCUACGCAUAUAUUGACACUGAAGCACGAAAGCGUGGGGAUCAAACAGG